rnacentral:lncRNA from 1 species
GUUCCUAAGUACUCCACUGGCUUACCAAGUAUAGGAUUACCCUUUGAUUACUUUAUCUGGCUACCAGGACAGAGAGAUUCUUGGGAGCCAACCAGCCAUCAGGUCAACUAUUUUGCUACAGAUAUGACUUUCCGGGUUUAGUCCCCUGUACUUUCAGGUCUUCAGCCUCAAUUUGACUUCCUGGCUUGUUCAGUGAGGAUUUUGGAGUUAUGUCAGAACAGUGGUUGGUAGGAUGGCAGAGACAUGGACUUCAGAGAGUUCUUGGUAGAAGACUCAAAGAGCCACCUGUCAUGAGACAUCCCACUUCUUUCCCCAGGUUACUUCCAAGACUGAGCAGCCAGGUUUUUGGUAGGUGAGAACAAAUGUUUCUUCCUGAAGCCCUGGGGCUUCAGGUAGGAAGAAGGACUGCUAUACUUGUUCUCACCCUUGGCUUCUGGCUGCUCCAGUUAAACAUGGUUCCCAUUGAUACAGACAUUAGAGUGGGAAAGGACUUCGCUCAUAGAGCGAAGACCCCCAAGAAAGGAAAGUCCUUCCAUUUUGGGAAGGGUAACAUUGAUUUCGUUUAGCUGCUUAAGGUAUGUACUUGCUGUUAUCUUGUGAGACAUGACAUCUGAAGCUGAAGAGGAGUCCCUCUCGUUGUCAUUGUCCCACUGGGACUGAAAGUCUCCCAGUUGAGGCAGCACUUUAGCUUUGAAGUCUGCAGGGCAAUCAUGGAUCAGGAAAUUUCUGCAAAUUAGACUUGGAAAACAAGGUCUUGAUCCUUCUUGUCUUUGGACGAAGACUAAUCGUCACUUUUGACUGAAGGUGUAGUGCUGGAGACUAUGGUGGAGGCAGCAUCUGAUGCACUAUCCAUAUUCUUCCCCUUGAUCUUGUCUUUAAGUUUUCCAAAUGGAUUCCGAGGCUUGUCUUUGAUGAAAAGGUCAAACAUACUGGCAGUCAUGUUGUUUCUCAUAAACUGGAUGUCAACCUCAAUUUCUCCUCUUUAUCCUUCUCUCCUGGUUUGGAUUUCAAGGUAUACCACUGUAUCUUCCUGCUCCCCUAGUCUGGGUGCAGGUCCUGCAGGUACACCUCGGCGAAGCCCAAGUACAGUAGCAGCAGAGCAGCAGCAGCUCAAAGGUGGCCUCCUCCUCUGACACUGAGGUGGCAUACUUCUCCUUACCCACCUGAAUCACCGAGUACAUGUUGCUUGUACCCUCAGGCCCUUGGUUCUUGGCCCCUGGCCCUAUGCCUGCAACACUGUCAUCUGCACAUGGAUUGGGAACCACAUAGGCCCUGGACCUGCUAAGGCCAUUAAGGACAGGAUGAUGAUGCCUCGGCUGACUGACGUGAGAAGAUUGCCAUGACCCACAGCCUCUACUGCUGUCCUACCAAUAGAAUUCAUAAUGUUGUGCAGGCGUUACCACUACCUAGUUCCAGAACAUUGCCAUCACCCCCAAAAGAAAUCUUGCAUUCAUUAAGCAGUCACCCCUAUUUUCCCCCAUCCCUGUCAACCACUGAUUUAUGUUCUGUCUCUAUGGAUUCCCCUGUUCCGGAUAAUUCAUGUAAAUGGAAUAAUACAAUAGAUGCCUUUUAUCAUGGGUUUCUUUCACUUAGGAUGUUUUGUAGGGUAAUCCAUAUAGCAUGUAUCAGGACUUCUUUUUUUUUUUUUUUUUUUUUUUUGAGAUGGAGUUUCAUUCUUCUUGCCCAGGCUGGAGUGCAGUGGUGCAGUCUCAGCUCACUGCAACCCUUGCCUCCUGGGUUCAAGCGAUUCUCCUGUCUUGGCUUCCCAAGUAGCCAGGAUUACAGGUGCCUGGCACCAUGCCCGGCUAAUUUUUUUGUAUUUUUAGUAGAGACAGGGUUUCACCAUGUUGGCCAGGCUGGUCUCAAACUCCUGACCUCAGGUGAUCCACCUGCCUCAGCCUCCCAAAGUGCUGGGAUUACAGGCGUGAGCCACCAUGCCCAGCCUUCAUUCAUUUUCAUGGAGAAAAAUAUUUCAUUGUAUGAGUAUACCACAUUUUGUUUAUCCAUUUAUCCAUUGAUUGGUUGUUUCUACUUUUUUUUUUUUAGCUACUAUGAAUAAUAUUGCUGUGAACAUUUGUGUACAAGGUUUUAGUGGACACAAGUUUUUAUUUUUCUUGGGUAUAUAUCUAGGAGUGGAAUUGCUGGGUCAUAUUGUAAUUCUGUUCAACUUUUUGAAGAACUUCCCAACUGUUCUCCAUGGUGGCUGUGCCAUUGUAUAUUCCUACCAUCAAUGUAUGAAGUUACAAAUUUCUCCACAUCCUGAGAACCCUUUAUUAUUUUCUGUUUUUCUUUUUGAUUAUAGCCAUCCUCCUAGUAGGUGUAAAGUGGUAUCUCAUUGUGAUUUUAUUUUGCAUUUCCCUAAAUGAUUAAUGAUAUUGAGCAUCUUUUCAUAUGCUUCUUGGCCAUUAGUAUAUCUUCUUUGAAGAAAUGUCUAUUCAAGUCUUUGGCAGUUUCUAAAUGAGUUAUUGUAUUUUUGUUGUUAGGUUGUAAGAGUUAUAAUCUGGAUAACAGAUCCUUAUUAGAUAUGUAAUUUGCACAUAUUUUCUCCCAUUUUGUGGGUUGUCUUUUGUCUUUUUACUUUAUUUUUUAUUGCUUGUGUUUUGGUAUCAUUAUUGAUAAUUCAUUGUUAAAUUAAAGGUCAUGAAGAGUUACUCUUACUUUUUCUUCUAUAAUUUUUAGUUUUAGCUCUUGUAUUCAUGUCUGUAAUCAAUUGAAGUUAAUUUUUAAUAUAGUGUGUGUUAGGAGUCCAGCUUCAUUGUUUUACACGUAUCUAUGCAAUUGACCCAAAGUGAUUUGUUGAAAAAUAUUAUUUUCUGAUGGUAUGGUCCUGACACCCUUGUAGAAAUUCAAUUGAAGAUAUAUGUAUCAGUUUAUUUCUGCAGUCUCAAUUCUAUUCUAUUGGUCUAAAUGUUUAUCUUUGUGCCAGUACCAGCCUGCUUUGAUUAUUUUAGUUUUGUAAUAAAAUAGACAAACAUUUGGCAGAUUCAUCAAGACAAAAAGAAAAGUAUAUAGAAAUAAUAUUAUGAAAGAAAAGGGGGAGCAUAUUGAAAAACACCAUAAAGAUUAAAAAGAUUAAGGGACAGUGUUAACAAUUUAUGCCAAUAGGAUUUGAAAGUUUAGAGAAAAUAGACAAAUUCCUAGCAAAAUAUAAAUUAUCAAAACCUACUCAAGAAAAAAUAGAAAUCUUAUAUAGUCACAAGGUAUUAAAUAUUCAAUUCUUCCUGGAGACCCAAAUACAUGCUUUCUACCAGUAACUCACUGUAAAUAAAAAGAAAGGGAUAAUAUAUUGUGCAAACUCUAGUCAAAAAAAAGUUGGAAUGACAAUAUUAAUAUAAACAAAAGUGGACUUCAGAAGAAGUAAUAUUAUCAGAGAGAAAGAGGGCACUGCUUGGUGAAUUGCCCUCUGAUAAAGACAUAACAAUACCAGAAGUAAAAAUUGACAGAACUGCAAGGGGAAAUUGACAAUUCCACAAUUAUAUUUGGGAUUUCAAUGCUUUACUCUUAAUAAUUAAUAAAAAAUUAGCUAAAAAAUUAAUUUUAGCUAAAUAAAUUAGCUAAAAAGUUAAUAAGGAUGGAUCUGAACAACACUAGAAUAAACUUGUCCUAAUGGACAUUUAUAGACCACUAUAACCAAAAGUGGUAGAAUUCACAAUUUUUGCAAGUACACAUGGAAUGUUCACCAAAAUAAACCAUAUCCUGAUUUAUAAAAUAAACUAACAAACUGACUUCUCUCACUUAGCAAUAUGAAUUUAAAUUUCCCCCAUAUCUCUUCAUGGCUUUAUACCUCAUUUCCUUUUAUUGCUGAAUAAUGUUUCAUUUUAUGGAUGGGCCAUAAAAUGUUUAUCUAUGCACCUAUUGAGGGACAUCUUGGUUGCUUCCCAAUUUUGGCCAAUAUUAAUAAAGCUGUUAUAAACAUU